UCUUUUACUGUCUGUGUUCUGGACACGAGAUGAAGACGACUGCGCUUGUCAAUCUACACGACGAAUAUACUCCUAUAUUUGUAAAGCUAGACGUUUCUAGUUUUCAUUAUUUACUACAAGUAAUCUUAAUGAUGUUUCCGAGCUGCUGAUGGGUUGCUCCCGUCUUUUGUCUCCAGAAACGAAGGCACGCGGAUUUGUCUUGACACUGUUGGACACUUCGGUCUGCUAAAGGCAUUUGGCACAGGUCCAGAAGGAUGCACAAAGGCUCAUUGGAAAGACGCUGCCCUAUGGUAAAGCAAUGGUAGAAGUGUUUAAUGCGCGAAUCUUACUGAUUUUAGAAUUGUUAAAUGUUUUUGGGUUUUGGUUAUGAAGGGUUGAAAUUGUAGUCAUAAAAUGAGUGUCGCUCUUGUGUGUAAACUGAGGUGAAAAUAUAUUUUAUUAAAAUAUUUUGAGUUCA